rnacentral:rRNA from 1 species
UGGGGAAUAUUGCACAAUGGGGGAAACCCUGAUGCAGCGACGCCGCGUGAGCGAAGAAGGCUUUCGAGUCGUAAAGCUCUGUCCUAUGAGAAGAUAAUGACGGUAUCAUAGGAGGAAGCCCUGGCUAAAUACGUUCCAGCAGCCGCUGUAAUACGCAGGUGGCAAGCGUUGUCCGGAAUUAUUGGGGGUAAAGCGCGCGCAGGUGGUUUAGAAAGACUGAUGUGAAAGCCCACGGCGCAACCGUGGAGGGUCAUUGGAAACUAAUAAACUUGAGUGCAGGAGAGAAAAGGGGAAUUCCUAGUGUAGCGGUGAAAUGCGUAGAGAUUAGGAGGAAAACCGGUAGCGAAAGCGGCUUUUUGGCCUGCAACUGACACUGAGGCGCGAAAGCGUGGGGAGCAAACAGG